rnacentral:rRNA from 1 species
GACGAACGCUGGCGGCGUGCUUAACACAUGCAAGUCGAACGGAAAGGCCCUGCUUUUGUGGGGUGCUCGAGUGGCGAACGGGUGAGUAACACGUGAGUAACCUGCCCUUGACUUUGGGAUAACUUCAGGAAACUGGGGCUAAUACCGGGUAGGAGCUCCUGCUGCAUGGUGGGGGUUGGAAAGUUUCGGCGGUUGGGGAUGGACUCGCGGCUUAUCAGCUUGUUGGUGGGGUAGUGGCUUACCAAGGCUUUGACGGGUAGCCGGCCUGAGAGGGUGACCGGCGACAUUGGGACUGAGAUACGGCCCAGACUCCUACGGGAGGCAGCAGUGGGGAAUAUUGCACAAUGGGCGGAAGCCUGAUGCAGCAACGCCGCGUGCGGGAUGACGGCCUUCGGGUUGUAAACCGCUUUCGCCUGUGACGAAGCGUGAGUGACGGUAAUGGGUAAAGAAGCACCGGCUAACUACGUG